GGGGCUGUAGUCGAGUGGUUAAGACACUGGACUUUCGAUCCAGAAUCACGAGUUCGAUCCUCGUCAGCCCCA
rnacentral:tRNA from 1 species